GGUUAUUUAUUCUAUGGUUGGUCCCUUCUUGGAAAAAAGGGAUUUCUAAUCCUAAUCAAUCUAGUAAAAGUAUUCUAUUUUUAUUUAUUGUAUUUAUGUAGCCUAUUAAAUUUACAAAUUAAACAAUGAACAAAGUGCACGCACGUAUUUGUUUAGUGAAUAUUACAACCGUUUAGUUUGCACAAAUUUAUGUAUUUGCCUAGUUUACGAUGAUGCCACAACAAUCUUACAGCCCCAACGAGGCUAGUAAUAUUAAUAGUGAAUAUAGCCAGAGUAACCCCAACAUGUCAAAUAUUUCCACAAUACCUAAUGAAACAACUUCGUUAGCCAGAUCUCAAACAUAUUUUGGAGAAGAGCGAAUACAUAUACCUGAAACAUCUCAUAAUGGAUUUAGUUUUAAGAAAUUGUGGGCCUUCACUGGACCGGGUUUUCUUAUGUCCAUAGCCUACCUGGAUCCAGGAAACAUUGAGAGUGAUUUGCAAAGUGGAACAGUAGCUCAGUACAAGUUGUUAUGGGUUUUAUUAUCUGCAACAAUUUUGGGGCUUUUAAUGCAAAGACUUUCAGCAAGAUUAGGAGUUGUAACAGGUUUACAUUUGGCAGAAAUGUGUUAUAGACAAUAUAGGAAAGUUCCUAGAAUAAUUUUGUGGCUCAUGAUUGAAAUAGCUAUUAUAGGGUCUGAUAUGCAAGAGGUAAUCGGAACUGCUAUAGCUAUUUAUCUAUUAUCAGGGACAAAAAUACCCAUAUGGGGCGGAGUUUUAAUAACAAUAAUUGACACAUUCACCUUUUUACUUUUUGACAAAUACGGUUUACGUAAACUCGAGAGUUUCUUCGGACUUCUAAUCACUGUAAUGGGUGUAACAUUUGGUUAUGAAUAUGUCACUUCAAAACCAGAUGCUCUAGGUGUUUUCAAAGGUAUGUUUAUACCUUGGUGCCAAGACUGUGAUUCUAGAGCCCUUUUGCAAGCUGUAGGGAUUAUUGGAGCUGUAAUUAUGCCCCACAAUUUAUACCUACACUCAGCCUUAGUGAAAUCUCGACAUAUAGAUAGAACAAAGCCUGAAAAAGUUCGAGAUGCCAACCUCUAUUUUUUUAUUGAAGCCUGUAUAGCUUUGUUUGUUAGUUUUGUGAUUAAUGUAUUUGUAGUGGCUGUGUUCGCUCAUGGAUUGUUUCAAAAAACAAACGCUGAUAUUCACAAAGCCUGUUUAGCUUAUCCUUCUAUCAAUGCCACCAUUUUUCCAAACACUGGACCUGAAGCCAACGAUUAUGUUAAAGCAGACUUGUACAAAGGUGGAAUCUUCUUAGGAUGUAUGUAUGGUGUUAUAGCUAUGUAUGUGUGGGCCGUAGGCAUUUUAGCUGCUGGGCAAAGUUCUACAAUGACAGGAACCUAUGCAGGUCAGUUUGCUAUGGAAGGUUUUUUAAACUUACAAUGGGCUCGUUGGAAGAGAGUUUUAUUUACCCGAUGCAUCGCCAUCGUACCUACAUUUGCCUUGGCGUUCUUUAGUACAAUCGAUGAUUUGACAGGGAUGAACGAUAUAUUGAAUGCUGUAAUGAGUAUGCAGUUACCGUUUGCGACGAUACCCACAAUUGCCUUUACCAGUAAUCCACAGAUCAUGGGAGAAUUUGCUAACGAAUAUGCUAACAAGGUUAUGUCGAUCGCGUUGAGCAUUGUCGUCAUUUCAAUCAAUAUUUAUUUCGUCGUGAGUACCGUGAACGAGUUUAGUUUGAGCUGGUUCUGGUUGACUGUUGUCAUACUGGUUGGAAUCUUUUAUAUACUAUUUUGUAUAUAUUUGGUCGUGCAUAUGGCUAUUUCUAUGGGACAUACGCGACUAAUGAGGUACAACUUCGUAGAGAAGUACGUGAUGGGACCUGUUGAUGCCACAUUAGCAGUUUGCCCUACAGGAUAUUCUAGUAUUAAGAUGUAAGCGUUGAGUGGAGGAGUUAAUUUUAGUGGUAAUGGAUUUGUAUACAGGAUGUACUAACCUACAUUUCAUUCAAUUACUAACACCUCUAAUCUAUAAAAAGUUCUAGUUCGGAAUUAACCCAUCAGAAUUCUGUAGAAGAAAAAUAAGAACAAAAAUCUUUUUAGGAAAUAUCGCAUAAAUAUAUUUUUAUUCUCGUGUUUUAAAAUGUUUUGUUGACUUUAUAUUUUACAUUAAAUAUAUGACCUACUUAAUUAUUUAUGCCAUAAUAGAGAAGAUAUUAAUUUUAUGUUACUUUACCAGACAUAAUUUUUAGAUUUUAUGUUUUUAUUAUUGUGAUAUUUUGAUUUAUAGAUCCAAAUAUAUAAUAAACUGUUUUACAAGCUCCA